AUGAACGCUAGCUACAGGCUUAACACAUGCAAGUCGAGGGGCAUCAGGAAGAAAGCUUGCUUUCUUUGCUGGCGACCGGCGCACGGGUGAGUAACACGUAUCCAACCUGCCCUUUACUCGGGGAUAGCCUUUCGAAAGAAAGAUUAAUACCCGAUAGCAUAAUGAUUCCGCAUGGUUUCAUUAUUAAAGGAUUCCGGUAAAGGAUGGGGAUGCGUUCCAUUAGGUUGUUGGUGAGGUAACGGCUCACCAAGCCUUCGAUGGAUAGGGGUUCUGAGAGGAAGGUCCCCCACAUUGGAACUGAGACACGGUCCAAACUCCUACGGGAGGCAGCAGUGAGGAAUAUUGGUCAAUGGGCGCUAGCCUGAACCAGCCAAGUAGCGUGAAGGAUGAAGGCUCUAUGGGUCGUAAACUUCUUUUAUAUAAGAAUAAAGUGCAGUAUGUAUACUGUUUUGUAUGUAUUAUAUGAAUAAGGAUCGGCUAACUCCGUGCCAGCAGCCGCGGUAAUACGGAGGAUCCGAGCGUUAUCCGGAUUUAUUGGGUUUAAAGGGAGCGUAGGUGGACUGGUAAGUCAGUUGUGAAAGUUUGCGGCUCAACCGUAAAAUUGCAGUUGAUACUGUCAGUCUUGAGUACAGUAGAGGUGGGCGGAAUUCGUGGUGUAGCGGUGAAAUGCUUAGAUAUCACGAAGAACUCCGAUUGCGAAGGCAGCUCACUGGACUGCAACUGACACUGAUGCUCGAAAGUGUGGGUAUCAAACAGGAUUAGAUACCCUGGUAGUCCACACAGUAAACGAUGAAUACUCGCUGUUUGCGAUAUACAGUAAGCGGCCAAGCGAAAGCAUUAAGUAUUCCACCUGGGGAGUACGCCGGCAACGGUGAAACUCAAAGGAAUUGACGGGGGCCCGCACAAGCGGAGGAACAUGUGGUUUAAUUCGAUGAUACGCGAGGAACCUUACCCGGGCUUAAAUUGCAGAUGAAUUACGGUGAAAGCCGUAAGCCGCAAGGCAUCUGUGAAGGUGCUGCAUGGUUGUCGUCAGCUCGUGCCGUGAGGUGUCGGCUUAAGUGCCAUAACGAGCGCAACCCUUAUCUUCAGUUACUAACAGGUCAUGCUGAGGACUCUGGAGAGACUGCCGUCGUAAGAUGUGAGGAAGGUGGGGAUGACGUCAAAUCAGCACGGCCCUUACGUCCGGGGCUACACACGUGUUACAAUGGGGGGUACAGAAGGCAGCUAGCGGGUGACCGUAUGCUAAUCCCAAAAUCCUCUCUCAGUUCGGAUCGAAGUCUGCAACCCGACUUCGUGAAGCUGGAUUCGCUAGUAAUCGCGCAUCAGCCACGGCGCGGUGAAUACGUUCCCGGGCCUUGUACACACCGCCCGUCAAGCCAUGGGAGCCGGGGGUACCUGAAGUACGUAACCGCAAGGAUCGUCCUAGGGUAAAACUGGUGACUGGGGCU
rnacentral:rRNA from 1 species